AACGCGAAGAACCUUACCAGCCCUUGACAUGUCCGGUAUGGGGUGGGGAGACCCACUUCUUCAGUUCGGCUGGCCGGAACACAGGUGCUGCAUGGCUGUCGUCAGCUCGUGUCGUGAGAUGUUGGGUUAAGUCCCGCAACGAGCGCAACCCUCGCCCUUAGUUGCCAUCAUUUAGUUGGGCACUCUAAGGGGACUGCCGGUGAUAAGCCGCGAGGAAGGUGGGGAUGACGUCAAGUCCUCAUGGCCCUUACGGGCUGGGCUACACACGUGCUACAAUGGCGGUGACAGUGGGACGCAAUGGAGCAAUCCUGCGCAAAUCUCAAAAAGCCGUCUCAGUUCGGAUUGUGCUCUGCAACUCGAGCACAUGAAGUUGGAAUCGCUAGUAAUCGCAGAUCAGCACGCUGCGGUGAAUACGUUCCCGGGCCUUGUACACACCGGUACUA
rnacentral:rRNA from 1 species